GCGGUCAUCGUUUAGUGGUAGGACGCGUCCUUGCCAAGGACGGGACGGGGGUUCGAUUCCCCCUGACCGCA
rnacentral:tRNA from 1 species